GUGCCAGCAGCCGCGGUAAGACGGAGGGUGCUAGCGUUGUUCGGAAUCACUGGGCGUAAAGGGCGCGUAGGCGGCGUCGCAAGUCGGCUGUGAAAGCCCGGGGCUCAACUCCGGAGGUGCAGCCGAGACUGCGGUGCUCGAGGCCGGAAGAGGAGGGUGGAAUACCCAGUGUAGAGGUGAAAUUCGUAGAUAUUGGGUGGAACACCGGUGGCGAAAGCGGCUCUCUGGUCCGGACCUGACGCUGAGGCGCGAAAGCGUGGGGAGCAAACAGGAUUAGAUACCCCGGUAGUCC
rnacentral:rRNA from 1 species